UGGGGAAUAUUGGACAAUGGGCGCAAGCCUGAUCCAGCAACGCCGCGUGGAGGACGAAGGUCUUCGGAUCGUAAACUCCUGUCAGAUGGGGCGAAGGUUGCGGGGCGAAUAGUCCUGCAACUUGACGGUACCAUCAGAGGAAGCCCCGGCUAACUCCGUGCCAGCAGCCGCGGUAAUACGGAGGGGGCGAGCGUUAUUCGGAAUUAUUGGGCGUAAAGGGCGCGUAGGCGGCUCGAUAAGUCAAAGGUGAAAUCCCUCGGCUCAACUGAGGAACUGCCUUUGAAACUGCCGAGCUUGAGUCCGGGAGGGGGUGGCGGAAUUCCCAGUGUAGCGGUGAAAUGCGUAGAUAUUGGGAGGAACACCAGUGGCGAAGGCGGCCACCUGGACCGGAACUGACGCUGAGGCGCGAAAGCGUGGGUAGCAAACAGG
rnacentral:rRNA from 1 species